CAUGUCCAUAACUCACUGGGAAACUCCAUAGCUGUAUCCGCAUAGCCCCUCACAGGGUCCUCGCGGUUUGGCCCAUAGGUCCGUCUAUUGCCCAUUAAUUGGAAACGAAGCUCUUUUGUGGAUCUCCUGCACUUAUCCGUGGCACACAUCCUCAAAUGUUCAGCUUGCGACAGUGCAAAAAUUCCAACUGAAGAUCUUUACCCAGGAGUUCAUGCUUUUCAAGGUUUUGGGCUUGCAGCCAGCUAGUUCUACUCCUCUGGCGCGACACAAGACAGGAAGCUGACAUAAAAGAAUGGGGGGACAGUCUGUGAGGGACCCAGGAGCCAAGGCAGGAGUCAAGACAAGAGCCGCUGACGAGGUCGGAAGUUAUUGUUUCAGCCUACAGGCAUCCAUGGUGACAAGAAUCCUAUCAUUCUACUGAACAUAUUGUGAUCCGAUGGUGAUGGCGACAAGUGUGGAGAUCAUUUCAGGACAGGAACUACAUCACUGGAGUUCCUCCCUGGGCAAAUGUUGUCAUUGGGCUGAUGAGUAAAACAUUUAACUCCCUAAAUACUUCACUGGAGCCACUUGUUGGCCAACAGCACAACAUUGCAGUUGCAAGAAAAACUAAAAAAAGACAACAGGUGUGUAACUGUAUAGACCACCCAUCCUGCAGUUAUAUACUGUAUGUAAAAAGAUGUGUUUCAACUUCGUAACAAGACUAAAGGUCUGCCCCAGUCCCCACUUGCUGUCUUGAGCACUGCCAUGCGUGUACAUGUGCCAUCGAGUAGAAGGUGUGUCAGCUGCCCUUACAAAAAAUGUACAGUAUGCAAACAAUUAGGACAUACUGCUUUGUCAUAACAUUUCACCUUGUACUUUGGCCCUCACAUAUGGUGCACAUGUAGUAGUAGAACAUAUUGGUAUUUUUGGCAUACCCCAUUGGACGUACCAUGUAUUGAUAAGUCUUUCCCUUGCUAGCAGCUCUGGGUAAGCUGUACUUUGACACCGCUUUUCUUUGAGCUGCAUGCUAUUGCCAGUAUGCUACCAUGCUUACAAUAACAAUGCAAACAUGCUGAUGUUUAGCAGGUAUUAUAGUUCUGCAUGUUAACAUGCUAAUAUUUAGUCAUCUGCCGUUAACAGCUGUACACCAAAGGCUGAUGGGAAUGUCAUUCGUUUUGCACUCUACACAUGACUUGGACACGUUUAAAUUCAGACCUGAUAAUGGCACCUGAGCAAAAUCUAAGGUAUGACAAAAGUUAUUAAAAUCCCCCUGACGGGAAAUUGUCUGUACCAAGUUUAAUCCAAAUCCAUCCCAUGCUUGUUAAGAACUUUCGCUCAAAAUCACAUAUGUCAACCUGCUGGUGGUGCCGAAGGAAAAGUCAGGGGAUCACCAAGGUCCCGGUCAGUCAAGGUCCAUUAGAAUUCAACCUAUGGGCAUCACAGAUAUCUGAACCAAAUUCCAAAACAAUCCAUCCAACAGUUGUCAAGCAAGUUUCCCCUUCAUGGGACCAUGAAAGUCUUCACAAAAUUUUAUGGCAAUCAAUUAGUUUUUGAGCCAUUUCAGUCUGGAAUACAGCAGGAGACAUUAUCAGCAUAGCUAAAAACUAUUAAAUAAUAAUUACUUCUCCACUGGUUCCCAACUCUGAUCCACAAGACAGAGAAUACUGUUUUCUGCUCAGCCAAAUAGGUAAUUGGAUUGAUCUGGUAUCUUGUUAAAAUUAUUCCCUAUUAGAUUGUUAGAAAGCACUCAUCCUAUUGCUACUCAACCGCCAUUACAUUUCUAGUUAAAUUUUCAAGCCAUUGCCCUAAAUCCUCCUUUUUCUCCUUUGCUACCCAAGAAUAUGUCACUUGUGUCUUAGGUCUUCAGAUAUUUCCGCUUCCCUUGCUGCCCUUUGAACAAUUCUCUGGCUGUACUAUCAGGUUUUCGGUAUUCUGUAUGUUGCCGAGCUGACCUGCGUGGUAUUUCUUCUGGCCUAGCUGACCUUAGCCUCACACCCUCUGUUAUCCAAUGGCCCUCUAAUCACUUGUCAUUUCCACUUCACACUUCACACACUUCCCCCCUCUUUUGGCUGUCCUGUCUGCUUUUUCCUUGCAGACUUACUGGCCCUGACUAUAUGUGCCUUGUACUGCCUAAGACUGCAGAUUUUGCAUUCCAAUUCAUCAUUUCACCUCCGUUUGUAUUCUGAACCAUGUGGGGAUAAAUGUUUACCACAAAGAAUGUCUCCUUAGAUCCACCCACAAUGAUUUUGACUUUCUCUCAGUUUGUCUGGUUGAGUCAUAUACACAUUCAUGUUCAACAACUUACUGGCAACAUAGGCCUGACAAACAAUAGGACAAUUGUCUAUGAUUAAGUGAUAAUCUGAUUUCUCCAGUAUACGUGUGCUUUGGGAAUGUACAGCCAUGAAGGGGGGUAAAAACACUAAAGCCUUAUUAUGGGCUCUACUUUGUGCCUUGCUCUUAUUUACCCUUCUCCAUUUAAACUAAAAUAAUACAACAAAUACUAUAUUUCCCAAUGCAAGUGUGUCUUGUUCUGCAUCCAACUAAAGAACCAUUCACUUUUUAAUCUAAUGCACCUUGUUAUUUUCUCUUACUGCGUCAGCUCCACACAACUGCCUGGCUGCAAUGUGAAGGCACAGACUUCCCAUUAGGUAUGUUAUCUCUUAGACGCUUAUCAAUUGCUCAUGAAAAUUGUUGGGACUUCUGCCCGGAACAAGGACGCUGUAGACCACUUUUGAAGCGAGACCUCAGACUGGUGCUGCAGAGCACACACCUGAGAGGGGGGUGAUCACAGUACAAGCAAAGCAAUAUGGAGUUGGAGUUCAACUUUGGUGAACUUUGACUGGCGAGGUUGCAGCCUCAACCAAUAGCAAAUAAGUGUGUAUGGUUGACCCCACAUGGCUGUCACUGGAGUCACGUCUUGCAUGACCCACAUUCAGCAAGAAUAUUGCCUCAACAGGCAAGUGUCAUGUGGAAGCAAAAAGGCAUCCUGUCACCUAUUUGGUUUGCCAAAUAUCUAAUAAAAGGAAACAUAAUGCCACCUGCAAUAAUGUUAAGUGGCAGUAUUUUUGUGUGUGGAGAAGGUACAAUCUUUGAAUUCUGCACGCAAGUUGUAGGCUGGUUGUAGACUUCUGUGUCUGGAUGACAUUGUUCUGGGUUUGGAUAACUACCACCGGGGUUAAAGCUUUACAUUAUGGGUGCCUCGUGUUGUUAGAUAUAGGCAGCAGAAGCACUUUAUCAAAGGUUAGGGAAAGAUCAUGGUUUUGGUUGAUUACAUACAGGUGCAUCUCAAUCAAUCAGAAUAUCAUGGAAAAGCACCAUCUCCAGUAGUUCAAGUCAAAUAGCCCAACCAAGUAUUAAGUGCAUAUGGAUGGACAUACUUUUCGGAGGCCAACAUUCCCAUAUUAAACAUACUCUUUAAAAUUUGUCUUUUGUAAUAUUCAAAAUUUUUUGAGACACUGAAUUUUAGGUCUUCAUUAAAUGUAAGCCAUAAUCAUAAUAAAUUAAGACAUGAAAUGUUUCAUUCUGUGUGUAAUUGGUCUUUAAAAUGUGUUAUUUCCACUUUUUGAAUUGAAUUACUGACAUAGAUAAACUUUUCUAUGAUAUUCUAAUUUAUUGAGAUGCACCUGUAAACACUGCAUUCCUCUGGGUUUAAGUGUCACAACCUGUCUCCAGUCACAUACCCUAUUUCCUCCCUCUUUUUCAUACAUCCACCAGAUGCCCUUGGACUUUCCCUCCUUUUUUUCAUCACACGACUGCCCCACCUAUCUACACACCUGCAGCUCAUUCCCUCAUCAGCUUCUCUCUCUAUAUAUAUACCCGACUAGCUCCUUGGUUCUGUCAGUUCAUCAAAGUUGCAAUGUAAUAUUCUGUCAUUGAGUUUGAGCCUCUGUAUACCUACCUCUGCAAUGAGUCACUCAACUAAUGCUGUCUGCCUGUUUAGUCUGCAUUUGGCUCCUUCCCUUGUUGCAUGCUUUUCACAUUAUUCAUUUGGGUUUUUUAAAAUCUUUUUUACCUCUUCAUUGGUUUCUCUUAUGUCCGCCUUCCUCUGUAGGUGCAGGACCUCAAGCUCCAGGUACCGUAGAGCCUCUCUUGACUGAGAUCUCCUUCAUCUCCUUUAUCCAGCUCUCAACCUUCUCAGAGAGCUUGGCAACCCAGCGCUUCCACCUUUUCAGCAAUCUCUUCAAAGUCUUUGUCCAUCUCUUGAAAAACGUUUUUUUCACAAUAAAACAAAUAACAGAUAUUGUGACAUCAAUUCACACUUAAUUGUUUCAAUAUUUAA